rnacentral:rRNA from 1 species
UUGAAAGGGAAACGAUUGAAGUUCACGACGUUGUAAAACGACGGCCAGUGAAUUCGAGCUCGGUACCCGGGGAUCCGAUAAGGGAAACGAUUGAAGUCAGUCGUACCGGCGGGUAAUCAGCCUUUUGGGUGUGAUUAUGUGGAGCGUGAGGAGUUUAAUCACCUUCAUCUUUGCAUAUUCGUGCACUUUGGGUGUACUUGCUCGUGUGGUAGGUUAACAUCAAUUUUGAUCAUCAUAAAAUGAUUGGAGGAAUGUAGCUUCGAUCUUGUAUUGAAGUGUUAUAGCCUUCGGUAGAUGUGAUGACCGGGAUUGAGGAUUGCAACGGAUGCCUUUCGGGCUACCUGUCUGAUCUCUGAAAGUUGCUCUGGUGCUGAAAGCUUGCUUAUGGUAUCAAAGUUGACGUUCAAUAGGUUAGAAUGGGAUAAAUUCGUUAAGGAUGUUGACGUA